rnacentral:rRNA from 1 species
UUAUAAUUUUUUUUUAUUAAAAAUUAUUUAUAUAUUAUUUAAAUUUAAAUAAAUUAAUUUAUUUUGUUGGGGUGACAGAAAAAUAGGAAUAACUUUUUUUAAAAAUAUAUUCAUAAAUAAAUGAAUUUUUGAUCCAAUUAUUAUUGAU